UGGGGAAUUUUGGACAAUGGGCGAAAGCCUGAUCCAGCAAUGCCGCGUGUGUGAAGAAGGCCUUCGGGUUGUAAAGCACUUUUGUCCGGAAAGAAAUCCUUGGCUCUAAUACAGUCGGGGGAUGACGGUACCGGAAGAAUAAGCACCGGCUAACUACGUGCCAGCAGCCGCGGUAAUACGUAGGGUGCAAGCGUUAAUCNGGAAUUACUGGCGUAAAGCGUGCGCAGGCGGUUUGCUAAGACCGAUGUGAAAUCCCCGGGCUCAACCUGGGAACUGCAUUGGUGACUGGCAGGCUAGAGUAUGGCAGAGGGGGGUAGAAUUCCACGUGUAGCAGUGAAAUGCGUAGAGAUGUGGAGGAAUACCGAUGGCGAAGGCAGCCCCCUGGGCCAAUACUGACGCUCAUGCACGAAAAGCGUGGGGAGCAAACAGGAUUAGAUACCCUGGUAGUCCACGCCCUAAACGAUGUCAACUAGUUGUUGGGGAUUCAUUUCCUUAGUAACGUAGCUAACGCGUNAAGUUGACCGCCUGGGGGAGUACGGUCG
rnacentral:rRNA from 1 species